rnacentral:rRNA from 1 species
GAUGAACGCUGGCGGCGUGCUUAACACAUGCAAGUCGAACGAGAAGUGAAGACGGAAACCUUCGGGCGGAAGGCUUUAUUUCGAGUGGCGGACGGGUGAGUAACGCGUGGGUAACCUGCCUCAUACAGGGGGAUAACAGUUGGAAACGACUGUUAAUACCGCAUAAGACCACAGCACCGCAUGGUGCGGGGGUAAAAACUCCGGUGGUAUGAGAUGGACCCGCGUUCGAUUAGCCAGUUGGCGGGGUAACGGCCCACCAAAGCGACGAUCGAUAGCCGAUCUGAGAGGAGGACCGGCCACAUUGGGACUGAGACACGGCCCAAAAUCCUACGGGAAGCAGCAGUGGGGAAUAUUGCACAAUGGGGGAAACCCUGAUGCAGCGACGCCGCGUGAGUGAAGAAGUAUUUCGGUAUGUAAAGCUCUAUCAGCAGGGAAGAAAAUGACGGUACCUGAGUAAGAAGCCCCGGCUAACUACGUG